rnacentral:rRNA from 1 species
GAUGAACGCUAGCGGCAGGCCUAAUACAUGCAAGUCGAGGGGCAGCAGGGAUAGCAAUAUUCGCUGGCGACCGGCGCACGGGUGCGUAACACGUAUACAAUCUGCCUUUAACUGGGGGAUAGCCCGGAGAAAUCCGGAUUAAUACCCCAUAACAAUGGAACUGGCAUCAGUUCUAUUUAAAAGCUCCGGCGGUUAGAGAUGAGUAUGCGUCUGAUUAGCUAGUUGGUGAGGUAACGGCUCACCAAGGCGACGAUCAGUAGGGGAUCUGAGAGGAUUAACCCCCACACGGAUACUGAGACACGGAUCCGACUCCUACGGGAGGCAGCAGUAAGGAAUAUUGGACAAUGCCCGCAAGGGUGAUCCAGCCAUGCCGCGUGCAGGAAGACAGCCCUAUGGGUCGUAAACUGCUUUUACACCGGAGAAAACCCCACUACGUGUAGUGGGCUGAUAGUAUGGUGAGAAUAAGCAUCGGCUAACUUCGUGCCAGCAGCCGCGGUAAGACGAAGGAUGCAAGCGUUAUCCGGAUUCAUUGGGUUUAAAGGGAGCGUAGGUGGCCUUAUAAGUCAGUGGUGAAAUCUUCGAGCUUAACUCGGAAAUUGCCAUUGAUACUGUAGGGCUUGAGUAUAGUUGCCGUUGGCGGAAUAUGACAUGUAGUGGUGAAAUACAUAGAGAUGUCAUAGAACACCGAUUGCGAAGGCAGCUGACGAAACUAUAACUGACACUGAGGCUCGAAAGUGCGGGGAUCAAACAGGAUUAGAUACCCUGGUAGUCCGCACUGUAAACGAUGAUUACUCGCUGCUAGAGGGCAACUUUUAGUGGCUUAGCGAAAGCGAUAAGUAAUCCACCUGGGGAGUACGCCGGCAACGGUG